rnacentral:tRNA from 1 species
GGGGAUUUGGCUCAAUUGGUUGAGUGUUUGCCUCACAUGCACAGGCCCUGGGGUCAAUUCCCAGCACCACCA